UACUCAUCGAGAGAGGUGGAGGGACCGGCCCGACGAUACCUCGGCAACCGCCCACAAGGCAGGUGCCAAAUCCGGCAGAGUUCGACAGCAGGUCGAUCUACUGACAGAUGAGAG
rnacentral:ncRNA from 1 species